GAAAAAAUUACGCAAGACAUAGGCCAAGCAACCUAAGAAAAUAACAAAACAAAACAAAACAAAAAAACCCUCCUAACCCAAAAGCCCACCCGAAUGAGGCCCCCGAAAAACCCCUACACCUUAUUACAUUUAUAAUAUAUCCGAAAAUGAGAGUUUUUUAUUUUCACUCUCACCUACACCUUUCCGCGCCCCUCAACACCUGAGAACUGAUGCUGCCGCCGCUCUUCAACCAUAAUUUUCUCCGUCUCUUCUUUGGAUUAUCAAUGAUUUUUUUGGAAGCUUGUGUAUUUUAGAUAUUAGCUUUCAAGAGUGGAUCCGUGAUUGAGUGCAUGGGAGGCUUGAUACAUCCGCCCUAUAGUGGACACAACAACUUUCAGGUUUAUUGUUUCUGAAUUGAUGAUGAAACCUUUUCUUUUUGUCAAGUCUUUUUUGAUGGCUGAAGUAGUGUAGACUAGAAUUCCAUUUGUUUUUGAAGACUUCAUGGCUAUGUAAAUAUUGUUUAAGUGAAAAUGCUUAUGUUGUAGCCUUCUCUGUACCAUUAUACCUUAAUAGGCGAUACUCUUAAAUAUGGGCAAUUUAGCUUGUCA